AGGUCCUGAGCAAUAAUAAAAACAAGGGAGUGUUUGUUCUUUAUCCUAAUUUGUGAAGAAUCAUAAAUGCCAUCAUUUUUAUGUGAGCUUUCUACUUGAAAGCAAAAGAAAAUCUAUAGCCAAUGACCACAUUCAUCCUAAGGAUAUUUGGAAUAUCAAAUUCACAAUAUUAGCACUUAAAGUAUGUGUAUUAUAUUAACGAGUUGUACCUAGAAAGCAUAGACCUCUACGCCAGUGUACAAACCCGCCUUGACCUGACAGAAGUGCACACAACAGCUGAAAGGUGAAUGGGAAUGUGCAUGCAUGUGGUCCAAUAGCCAUACCUUGCACAGGGCAGGCCAAGGAAGGGAAGAAAGGACAAGUGAGGACACUUUACAGCUUUUCUAAAAAUACCCAGUGUGUACCCUUAAGGAAAUCAUGGGGCAAACCCUGAUCUGUGUUGUCUAGCCUGUUCUUCUAGGGAGGAAACCAGAACAUGCAGGGCUGCAGCUGGCUUCUGCAGCAGCAUUCCCUGAUGCAUUACUGAAGCAGAAGUAAAAACUCAGUUCUCAACUUGUAAAGGCAGGAAGCCAACUUGAAAUGGGUAAAGUGAUGCCCAGAGAGGUUAAGUGACUAGCUGAAGAGCUGAAGAAGUUUUCAAGAUACCUAGGAUUUACAGGGAUUUUUUUGUUGUUGUUUCUAAAAAGCAAACUCACCAACUUUCACAGUUAUAUACAUAUACACACACACACACACUUAUAUAUAUGUGUGUGUGUAUAUAUAUAUAUAUAUAUAAAACACAGGCUGGGAUUUCAGUGGAACUCGGUAUCCAAAAGCAUGAUGUUGCAAGAAAGUUGUGGACAUUUGAAUGGUUGUCUGAAUAGUCAAGCAAGAAGGGAAUUGGCUGGUGACAGUGCUCUUGCAAAACAUGCCUUUAGAGUGUUUUGGAUGAUAGUAAGUAGAAUGUAAAACAGUUACUUGAUUUUAUUAGCUUUUCUUUCAAGGCAGGUUUUCAUGUUCAAAAAAAUUAGUAAUAGACCAGAAAGCAGAGAAGCCCUUUGACUGAAUUUAAUAUUUUCCAUAAUUCUUUUUUCUAUUCAACAAAUUCUUGCAUUUCCUCAACAUAUAGAAUAAAUGCUAAAUAAAAUACAUGGGGUUCUUAAGAUGAUUAAUUGUAGCUUUUAUUAACAGUAUAAAAAAAUCAAAUGUUGCUGGUCUGGUUAGUCCUGUAGGACAUAUUCCUCAGCUCCUUCUGGACAUCUUCAUAACUCUGAAGAGAGUAAUAUUAGACAUUAGACACCAUGUUUACGCAACUGAAUCCCACCUUGACUACCCAGGUGGCAUUAUAUUCUUAUGUGGAUUACAGCAACAGCUACAUGGCUGUUGUACAAGAUGCAAUACCCCCACGCACUGGGUAACACAUAGUAAAGGACAGGCCUGGUCCUAAUGUGCUUACAAGUGUCUGACACCAGAGAAGUAGACUGACUUGCCCAAGACUAUAGAGAGGGUCAGUGCUACCAACAGAUCCCAGAAUAGCAAUGCAGCUGCCCUCAUCAUGUUGCUUCUCCAAAAGCUAUUGUAAAAGCUGGCCACGAAAAGCAAGAGGGAAGGAAACAUGAAGAGGAUCUCAAACUCUUAACAUGGUUUCCAAGGACAACUAAACCAGUGCUCAGCCCUUCUGAAAGUGUCACGUUAGAAUAUUAUUUCUAAACUCAUUUCACAGUUGAGUCAAUCAUUGGCAAUGCAGACUCUCAGAUUGCUAUGCUAAACAAAUGGAUACAGUUCUAUGCAGAGUGAGACUUGAAAACAUCACAGGUAGUAAGUGGGAAGAUAAUAAACCAAGUUAGAAAUUACGGUUUUCCAAUUCCUUUUAUAAAAGAAUCCAGUAUUUCUGGGCACGUUCCCUCUCCAAAACCCUUGCAUUUUUCCAUAACAAGUUAAAAAUAAAGAAAUACUAAAUGUGGAAAGGUUCAUACCUAUGUUCAAGUACAAUCAGUAUGAUAGGCUACACUCAACAGAGAACACAGUCUGAGCACUUUUUUUUUUUUUGAUUGUGGCCCAAAUACACACUUCUUCAGUGGCCCUGGGCAAAUCACUUAACCUCCCUGCCUCAGUUUCCCAUUCUUUAAGAUUAAUGUAAUGCUGAUUACUUAUCUACCUGUAAAAGGUGUGGCGAGGAUUAAACAAUGUUUGUAAAGCAUUUGAAGAUGAGAAGCACAGCAUGCAUGGUAAAUCAAUAAAACCAAACACUCAUUCCAAAACUCUUUGUUCAACAUAUGGAAAAAUAAGUUUGCUGCACCUUUCGUGGGAAGAGGGUCACUUCUAAAACAUCGGUAAUGUAGAGGGAAUAAAACAGACAGGCAGAUGGAAGUUCAUGCAGCUGCUACCAUGAAUUCCUUACCAUUCUGGUGAUAAACAAAACAACCCGAAUGAAGAAUGGCCAUUGCAUUCCAAAGGUGACAGACUGAAGAUAUUCCUAAGGAAAGCCUCACCACUGAUAAAGGAUUCAGCAGGACAGUGAACCCUUGAAAUCAAUAGAAAUGGGAAGUCCUCAGCAUCUCGCACAGCUAUUUGCAAAUGAAGGGUUAUUUGCAAAAACUGGAGGUCUAAUUUUUUUGAAGGUAUGAAUGAUAUGCAAAACUGAAUGUUGAUUCUGAUCCUCCUAUGCCUGUAAGUCUUUCCAGAACCAAGGGGCACAGAAGAGACAACCAUGUAUUUAGGAGUCGUAAUCAGUUGUAGCAUUCAAAAUAAACUUCUGGAUUGUGCCAGCAGAAGCCAGAAACUUUCCUUGCCUGGCAGCUUGAUUUCCAAAAGAUCACUUCUAGUGGCUAAGUAUAAUAGAUUUGAUCUACAUAAACACUGAGUGUGAUUAAUUAGCACAUGUGACUAUAAUUAGCACAACACCUGUGUCUGUAGUACCAUUUCUCUACCAAAAGAUCCCAUUAUGAGAUGAUUAUAUAUGAUAGUUUCUUGUAAUUAAGGAACUAUAGGAAUGCACAUGGGAAGCUGUCUGGCCCUUAUUUAGAGGGACAUCUGAAAUGGUUUCAUUACACUGGAGAAAGCAGUGGAGUUGCUUUAAAUUUCCUUUAAUCUAAAUUCAGUAUAGGCACUCAUUAGAACAAUCAUCUAGUCUUACUUAUCAGAUUUUGCCUGAUUUUGUCUGUGCUGUAAAACACAAUAUUAUGAAACAUGCUAUCCUGUUUGUUUUGUUAAGGACAGCAUAAGACUAUUUUCUGUUAUUCUUUGUCUUAGUAAACUUUGGACAUGGAUAGUGCCUUCUGUUAUUGAGAAAAUCAGAGCCACUUGAUUAGCCUGUACCUCAAAUGUGCACCAUGAAAAAGAGGAAAAGGUUUCAUGCUUCUCAGAGUACCCUCUUGAUUCAAUUUGCUAUCAGCUUGUACUUAUUGGAUUACUGGGAGGCACUUCACUAAAAUUAUAUAAAAUGGAUAGAGUCCAUAGAUAACAUGAACUAUUUUCAUCUCAUUCUUUAAAUGCAGCCUAUUUACCUAUACAAGAUAAAACUAAAAUCUCCAUCUUUCUGAUGGAGUGUUCAAUUUUUGUAAUAACCAGAUUAUCUGAUAAGACCACAAAAAAAAAUCCAUUAAGGCAAACUAGGAACUUUUGUCAAAAAAAAAGAAAAAAAAAUAUGUGAAAUGAAAUUAUAGACCAACUUUAACAUAUGAAAAUAAAUAAAGUCUCCAUUGUAAUCAUAUGUUUCUAUUCAUUGAAGGAAUUAUUUCAGUUGACAAAGCUUCCAGUCCCUUAUUGCUGUGAUCAGUUGCUAAUGGAAAUAAUUUAUAGAUUGCAAAGUGUAUGUUCUAUUCUGCACCACUCUGACACAAAUUAAACAAGCUCUUUAAUUCCAGUGGCACUUUUUGCACAAACACUAAUUUACUUGAGCACUAAUAACCCAAUCCAGUCCCUAAAAGUCUGGCCAGUUUUGGUCUCUAUCUUAGCCUUGUGUACUGGUGUUCUUCCACUUUCCUUAUUCAAUGUAAAGGGCUAUGAUAAUCACCUCCUCUUUUUAAUGCUUUAAUGCAAUGAAAAGCAUAGGGAUUCUAGCACUUUUCCUCAUUUUUAUUUUGCUUAUGGCAAUUACUUACUUAAAUCAAUGAUUAUUACAUACCCUAAUUUAGAUUAUCUACAUUAAGAUAUUUAGAUAAGUAGAUUAUCAAAAUCAUACUAAUUAAAGCAACUAUUACAAAAUGCUCAAAUUUUAAUUUUAAAGUUCUGAUUCUAAAUUUCAAAAAUGCAUCUAGGAAAGAUUUAAUAGAAACCUAUGAAAAGGAUGCACAAAGCUUCUUCAGAGAAAAAGGCAACCCUUUCUUAGUUCUAAAUGUCAUCUUUAUUCAU